rnacentral:rRNA from 1 species
CUAAGUCCCUUGGAACAGGGCGCCAUUGAGGGUGAGAGCCCCGUGCGACGCUUGCCGAAGCUUUAAGACCCUUCUGACGAGUCGAGUUGUUUGGGAAUGCAGCUCCAAGUGGGUGGUAAAUUCCAUCUAAGGCUAAAUACUGGCGAGAGACCGAUAGCGAACAAGUACUGUGAAGGAAAGAUGAAAAGCACUUUGAAAAGAGAGUGAAACAGCACGUGAAAUUGUUGAAAGGGAAGGGUAUUGGGCUCGACAUGGGAUUUGCGCACCGCUGCUCCUUGUGGGCGGCGCUCUGUGCUUUUCCUGGGCCAGCAUCGGUUCUUGCUGCAGGAGAAGGGGUUCUGGAAUGUGGCUCCUCGGAGUGUUAUAGCCAGGGCCAGAUGCUGCGUGCGGGGACCGAGGACUGCGACAUCUGUCACGGAUGCUGGCACAACGGCGCAAUACCGCCCGUCUUGAAACAUGGACCAAGGAGUCUAACGUCUAUGCGAGUGUUUGGGUGUGAAACCCGUACGCGUAAUGAAAGUGAACGUAGGUCGGACCCUCCGGGGGCACGAUCGACCGAUCCUGAUGUUUAUCGGAUGGAUUUGAGUAAGAGCAUAGCUGUUGGGACCCGAAAGAUGGUGAACUAUGCCUGAAUAGGGUGAAGCCAGAGGAAACUCUGGUGGAGGCUCGUAGCGGUUCUGACGUGCAAAUCGAUCGUCGAAUUUGGGUAU